rnacentral:rRNA from 1 species
UACAGAGGGUGCAAGCGUUAUUCGGAUUUACUGGGCGUAAAGCGCGUGUAGGUGGUUUGGCAAGUCUGGUGUGAAAGCCCCCGAUUCAAUCGGGGAAGUGCAUUGGAUACUGCUAGACUCGAGUGCAGGAGAGGAGGAUGGAAUUCCUGGUGUAGAGGUGAAAUUCGUAGAUAUCAGGAGGAACAACGGAGGCGAAGGCGAUCCUCUGGACUGCAACUGACACUGAGGCGCGAAAGCGUGGGUAG